UAACCACUCAAGCCUAGCUUGGUAUUGGGGUUCGCGUGCUCGCGGCCCUUAAAAUCAGUGGCGGUGCCGUCUGGCUCUAAGCGUAGUAAUUCUCUCGCUAUAGAGUCCGGCGGUUGCUUGCCAGAAUCCCCACUUUUAA
rnacentral:misc_RNA from 1 species